UCCCUGGAGGACUAGUGGUUAGGCCUCGGCACUCUCGCCGCCAUGGCCCGGAUUCGAUUCCCGGCCAGGGAA
rnacentral:tRNA from 1 species